AACGAACGCUGGCGGCAGGCUUAACACAUGCAAGUCGAACGGUUGUAGCAAUACAGCAGUGGCAGACGGGUGAGUAACACGUGGGAACCUUCCUAGGGGUACGGAACAACUCAGGGAAACUUGAGCUAAUACCGUAUACGUCCGUGAGGAGAAAGAUUUAUCGCCCUUAGACGGGCCCGCGUCGGAUUAGCUAGUUGGUGGGGUAACGGCCUACCAAGGCGACGAUCCGUAGCUGAUCUUAGAGGAUGAUCAGCCACACUGGGACUGAGACACGGACCAGACUCCUACGGGAGGCAGCAGUGGGGAAUUGUGGACAAUGGGCGCAAGCCUGAUCCAGCCAUGCCGCGUGAGUGAAGAAGGUCUUCGGAUUGUAAAGCUCUUUUACCAGGGACGAUAAUGACGGUACCUGGAGAAUAAGCCCCGGCAAACUUCGUGCCAGCCGCCGCGGUAA
rnacentral:rRNA from 1 species